UACAGAGGUCUCAAGCGUUGUUCGGAUUCAUUGGGCGUAAAGGGCGCGUAGGCGGCGCGGUAAGUCACUUGUGAAAUCUCUGAGCUUAACUCAGAACGGCCAAGUGAUACUGCAGUGCUAGAGUGCAGAAAGGGCAAUCGGAAUUCUUGGUGUAGCGGUGAAAUGCGUAGAUAUCAAGAGGAACACCUGAGGCGAAGGCGGGUUGCUAGGCUGACACUGACGCUGAGUGCGCGAAAGCCAGGGGAGCAAACGGG
rnacentral:rRNA from 1 species